CAGUUCUCAGACCUUUGUAUACAUUGGCUAAAGCAGUAAAGUACUAUAAUAUAAAACCUUUGCUAUUACUUCUAGUAAUAUAACUUAUGCAACAAAAUGGUGAAGUCUUGUGCUGCAUACAACUGUACAAAUAAUGUGAAGAAAUGUAAGGGUCUCAGCUUCCACCAUUUUCCCCUUGCAGACAAGAGAAGACUUAGAGAGUGGUUAGUAAAGAUUCGACGAGAGGAAUUUGCUCCAACUGUACACUCUGUAAUCUGCUCACAGCAUUCGAGCCUUCAUGCUUCUGGAACAGUGCCAAUAAAAGACUUUUAAAGCCAUCGGCAAUUCCAACAAUUUUCAAUUUUCCAGGAUCGCUAAAAAAGAAAGAACAAAUGCGACCACCUCCAAGAAAACGAUCUGCAGCUACAGAUGCGGUGAGCGAUUUGUGUGAAGGAGGAGUCCAGGGAGAGGAAUCUGAAGUUUCUAGUGCUUCAAUUAAUAGCAUUCUACAUG